rnacentral:rRNA from 1 species
UGGGGAAUUUUGGACAAUGGGGGCAACCCUGAUCCAGCAAUGCCGCGUGUGUGAAGAAGGCCUUCGGGUUGUAAAGCACUUUUGUCCGGAAAGAAAACGCCGUGGUUAAUACCCGUGGCGGAUGACGGUACCGGAAGAAUAAGCACCGGCUAACUACGUGCCAGCAGCCGCGGUAAUACGUAGGGUGCAAGCGUUAAUCGGAAUUACUGGGCGUAAAGCGUGCGCAGGCGGUCCGCUAAGACAGAUGUGAAAUCCCCGGGCUUAACCUGGGAACUGCAUUUGUGACUGGCGGGCUAGAGUAUGGCAGAGGGGGGUAGAAUUCCACGUGUAGCAGUGAAAUGCGUAGAGAUGUGGAGGAAUACCGAUGGCGAAGGCAGCCCCCUGGGCCAAUACUGACGCUCAUGCACGAAAGCGUGGGGAGCAAACAGGAUUAGAUACCCUGGUAGUCCACGCCCUAAACGAUGUCAACUAGUUGUCGGG